CCCCCUCCUUUUCAUAAUUUGUAUGUUUAGGUGUUCGGUCAAUUUACUCUACACUUGUAAUGUCUUAUAGUCAAGACCAUCAAUCAGAUUCGGUGUGACAAAAAUAUCCUGCUACAAUAUUACAGGUUAUUAAAGGGAUGAUGGGAACGAGCUGCAUGCAUUUACUGGGCCUUUUUUCUCAUUUCAGAAAAGCUGUCAUGGGCCUAAACCGGUGAUUCAUCUUCUCUUCAGUAUCAACAGGUAGUUGCUAAGAGUGGACUUUGAUGAGCUACUUUCAUGCAUCUUUAAUCUCUCCCAACACCUCCAGCCAAAUUUCUUUCUCUUGUAACCUUUUCUCUUUCCCUGAAAACAGGAUAAGCUGUUGGAGAGAGAGAGCUAUGUGGCAAUCUGGCCUAGAUCAUUUUUACCUGGGUGCUCGGAAGACAGAUGAUAUCCCAUGGAUUUGCUAAGCUAUUCAGGUUUCCAUUAUUCUCCUACAGUGAAGGCCAUACUGCCACUCAAGGGACACUUAUUUCAGGUUUAACUGGGAACACGUUCAUGCGUGCACAUGUUCUGUCUCUCAGUGGUGUCCAAUUCUUUCGUGACCCCAUGGACUGUAGCCAGCCAGGCUCCAUGGGAAUUCCCAGGUAAGAAUACUGGCGUGGGCUGCCAUUUCCUUCUCCAGGGAAUAUUCCCGACCACUGAGAUUAAACCCACAUCUCUUGCAUUGGCAGGUGGAUUCUUUACCACUGAGCCACCUGGGAAGCCCCACAUGGAAAAACUAUUUCCCAUUAUUCUAGAUUGUCAAAGUCUUCAGAAUUCUGAUAAUACAAGCAUCUUUCCUCUGCUCCAUUAUGUCUGAGGCCUUGGUUUGAAAAUAUGAAGACAGUUUAUUCUGGGAGUAAUCAAGUUCUUCUCCACAUGGGCAUCUCAGUAUGGUCUUCAACAUGAGAUAGCCUGUACUUCAGAGGACAGUAGCCAAGUUCCAAAGAUGAACACAGAGAGAGAGCAAGCAAAUGUGGAAGCUCCAGGUAGAAGCCAUACCAUCUUCAAGAACCUAGCUUAGAAGUCACAAAACUUCAGUUCUACCACACUUUAUCCAUCAAGAUGGUUACAGAGUUGUAGUUAUCAGAGGUGGGCAGCAAGGAAAGAGGGGGACUGAAUGAAGGUGGUCAAAAUGUACAAACUUCUAGUUAUAAGAUAAACAAGUACUAGGAGUGUAAUGUAAUACACAACAUGAUUACUGCAAUUAACACUGCUAUAUGUUACAUAUGAAAGUUGUUAAAGAGAGUAAAUACAAAGAGUUCUCAUCACAAGGGAAAAUAUGGUUUUUUUCUUUUUAGUUUGUAUCUAGAUGAUGGAUGUUCAUUAAUUAUUAUGAUACUCAUUUCAUGAUGAAUGUAAGUCAUUACACUGAACACUUAAAUUUAUACAGGUUGUGUGUCAAUUUUAACUCAUUAAAAAAUGGAAGAAAAAAAAAAGACA
rnacentral:lncRNA from 1 species